GUGCUGUGGAUGCACAGCUCCAGUUGGGACGAGAGAGAAGAAUGGGAACUCCUGGAAAGGAAGGCUGUGGCAUGGAUCCAGGCUCGAUCUGGUUGCUAGCAUCACUCCUCCCACAGAUGCCCUCAGGUUAGGCUGAGACUGAUCUAACAGCUAUUCACUCCUCUGGUUUCAAGAAUAUUGUACCUCAGAAGUGUUUGUGGGUCCAGGAAAAGUGAAAGGGGAAUUUAAGAUGCCUCCCUGGUUGAAUGCAUCAAAGCUGCCAAUGCUCUCCUGAAAUCAUCUGUGGAUCCUGCUGUCUUUGGCCUAUG